UGCUUACAGCACUCGAGCGGCCGUCGCUAACAAGCGGCACUUGAGUCGCUAUUACCCGACGAGAAAUUGAAUUAAUGCCAUUAGAAUUCAUACUUUGAGGAUGUUUUUGAAAAUGUCGAUUUUGAUGACGGAGAUAUUGAAAAGGUUGUUUUAAUACAGCCUGACGUUGCUCUUCGUGUUAACACGCUUCUACAUGUCUACGGAUGGGGUGGUCCGGAAAAAGCAGUGAAGUACCAAAACAUGCCCCUGUGUUCCGAUAUGCUUGUACUUGAUAAAACGGUGUGUGUAUCUCGUUAUGGGCAACUCAUGACUUCAUCAAAUUUUUGCGUAAGAUUUAAUCUUCAACGAAAGCUGAGCGAUAAUGGUGGAAGUGCAAUAUACAAUAGAACUUUAGUAGGGAUCCUAUCAGCUGGAGGCAAUAGCAAUGAAUCGCCGCACUUUGCUAUUCUAACUAAUGUAUCUUAUUUCCAUAGAUGGAUCAAACUCAACACGGAGAUGUAUUUAAGAAAAUAUUGCACAGUUCCCAGGUCUAAUGAGUAUUAUCAUAUUGAGUCGUCGGAGUUUCCUGAAACCUAGUUAAUAUUGUUGAAGAAAACUAAAUAUAAAAAAAUUGUAAACAUUACAUAAUAUACUUUAAUUGAAUCGCGAAAUACAUAUCAUCGUCAUCAUCAAUGGCUAUACAGCCCCUUGUGGGCCUUAGCCUCCUCAAGUACACUUCGCCAUCGCAAUAUAUCCAGCUUCCCGCUUCCAAUUGAGAAUCCCUAUUGUUUCGAGGUCCUUGACAACUCCAUCCCACCAACGCAGCCUCGGUCUACCGGGUUUUCUCUUGCCACCGGGUUGUGAGUUCAGUAAGGACCUUGGGGUUC